AACGAACGCUGGCGGCGUGGAUAAGGCAUGCAAGUCGAGCGCGAAAGUCCCCUUCGGGGGAUGAGUAGAGCGGCAAACGGGUGAGUAACACGUGAGUAACCUGUCCUUGGGUGGGGGAUAACCCCGGGAAACCGGGGCUAAUACCGCAUGAUGUUGUUCCCACACAAGUGAGAAUAACCAAAGGGGGGGACCUUCGGGCCUCCCGCCUGAGGAGGGGCUCGCGCCUGAUUAGCUAGUUGGUGGGGUAACGGCUCACCAAGGCGAUGAUCAGUAGCCGGUCUGAGAGGAUGGCUGGCCACACUGGGAUUGAGAUACGGCCCAGACUCCUACGGGAGGCAGCAGUCUAGAAGCUUCGGCAAUGGGCGAAAGCCUGACCGAGCGACGCCGCGUGCAGGACGAAGGUCUUCGGAUUGUAAACUGCUUUCGACGGGGAUGAAAGGUAAGAGGGCGAAUACCCCCUUAAUUUGACAGUACCCGCAGAAGAAGCCCUGGCUAACUCCGUGCCAGCAGCCGCGGUAAAAUAGCGUA
rnacentral:rRNA from 1 species